UCGACAGAUCAACUGACAUUGCUGUGAAUUCGCGCGUGCUUGUCGUUUGUAUACGUUUGCUCGCAACCGCGCAGUGUCGUUCUGCUCAGGUGUGUUGUUUUUCACUGUUUUUCACAGGAAUGGCGUGUCGAGGAAAGAAGAUAAUGUGCGUUAUGAAGGGUAAAAGCAGUGGUGACGGUGUCCGACAUUAAAUCUUUGAACCCGUGCCAUCCGAAAGACUUUUGCGAGCGAUCGUCGUACGUGGUAAAGUGGACAUCAGAAGAUGAUGAACGCUCUGAUACAGAAGCAUUUUACAAAGCAAGGCUCCUGCUUUUGGGAUAAAGCCACAACUACUCAGUGUCCUGGUCUACAUAUAAUGCUACCAUUCCCUAGGGAGAGGACGGGACCCAGGGACAAGGGGGGUCCCUGUGAACGUAGUAAUGACCAAAAGUGUAUCAUAUAAUAUAUAUCAGCAUAACAUA